GAUGAACGCUGGCGGCGUGCCUAACACAUGCAAGUCGAACGGAGUUUAUUCGCUGCAGAGGCUUCGGCCAAAGCUUGAAUAAACUUAGUGGCGGACGGGUGAGUAACGCGUGGGCAACCUGCCUCGUACUGGGGGAUAACAGUUGGAAACGACUGAUAAUACCGCAUAAGCGCACAGUAUCGCAUGAUACAGUGUGAAAAACUCCGGUGGUACGAGAUGGGCCCGCGUCAGAUUAGCCAGUUGGCAGGGUAACGGCCUACCAAAGCGACGAUCUGUAGCCGGCCUGAGAGGUCGGACGGCCACAUUGGGACUGAGACACGGCCCAGACUCCUACGGGAGGCAGCAGUGGGGAAUAUUGGGCAAUGGGCGAAAGCCUGACCCAGCAACGCCGCGUGAGUGAAGAAGUAUUUCGGUAUGUAAAGCUCUAUCAGCAGGGAAGAAAGACCCGCAAGGGAGAUGACGGUACCUGACUAAGAAGCCCCGGCUAACUACGUGCCAGCAGCCGCGGUAAUACGUAGGGGGCAAGCGUUAUCCGGAUUUACUGGGUGUAAAGGGAGCGCAGACGGAAUAGCAAGUCUGAAGUGAAACCCCACGGCUCAACCGUGGGCUUGCUUUGGAAACUGUUAUUCUAGAGUACUGGAGAGGUAAGCGGAAUUCCUAGUGUAGCGGUGAAAUGCGUAGAUAUUAGGAGGAACAUCGGUGGCGAAGGCGGCUUACUGGACAGCAACUGACGUUGAGGCUCGAAGGCCC
rnacentral:rRNA from 1 species